CCCUUAGAUGUCCUGGGCCGCACGCGCGCUACACUGGCACACGCAACGAGUCUAUCACCUUGGUCGGCAGGCCUGGGUAAUCUGUGAACGUGUGCCGUGAUUGGGAUUGAUUGUUGCAAUUUUCAAUCAUGAACGAGGAAUUCCUAGUAAACGCGAGUCAUCAGCUCGCAUUGAUUACGUCCCUGCCCUUUGUACACACCGCCCGUCGCACCUACCGAUUGAAUGGUCCGGUGAAGCGUUCGGACCGUGGCCUUUGGACGGUUCGCCGUCUGUUGGCUGCGGGAAGUUCGUUAAACCUUAUCAUUUAGAGGAAGGAGAAGUCGUANCA
rnacentral:rRNA from 1 species